UACAGAGGUCUCAAGCGUUGUUCGGAUUCAUUGGGCGUAAAGGGUGCGUAGGUGGCGCCGUAAGUCGGGUGUGAAAUUUCGGAGCUUAACUCCGAAACUGCAUUCGAUACUGCGGUGCUUGAGGACUGGAGGAGGAGACUGGAAUUCAUGGUGUAGCAGUGAAAUGCGUAGAGAUCAUGAGGAAGACCAGUGGCGAAGGCGGGUCUCUGGACAGUUCCUGACACUGAGGCAACGAAGGCCAGGGGAGCAAACGGG
rnacentral:rRNA from 1 species